ACAUCUGUUGUAUGAAAACUGGAAGAAAGAAGAAAUGGUUCCUAUGUUACUGCAGUAGCCUAAGAAAAAGUAGAGUCAGAACUCAGGUGGUAGCCAUAGAGAAGCGGAAGGGAGUGGGACUGAAGACAGAGCAGAUCACAAAUGGCCAAUGACUUAAUCAUAAGGAAGUCUCCACGGAGUUUGGAGGGCUUCCAGGAAGGUAAACUAGAACACAUCCAGGAGCUGGGUAGGUGGCGCACCCCAACUCCACGGGGAUGGAAGCUCCUGCAUUCAGGACCCUUCCAGACCUUGUCUUACAUAUCUCUUCAUGUAGCUGUUCAUUUGCAUCCUUUAAAAUGCCCUUCAUAAUAAAGUGGUAAAUGUUUGCCCCGAGUUCUGUGAGCCACUCUAGCAAAUUAAUCGAACCCAAGAAGGAGGUCUUGGUAACCUCUACGUAUGGCCACCUGGUCAGAAGCACAGGUAAACAACCUGGGGCUUCCAACUGGCACUGGAAAAAGUGGGGGCAGUCUUGUGGGACUGAACCCCCUCAACCUGGGGAAUAUGAUGCUAUUUCCAGGUAGACAGUGUUGGAACUGAAUUGGAGGACAUCCAGCCAGUGUCUGCUGCAAAACUGAUUGCUUGCUCGAUGUACAGAGAAAAACUUACAUAUUAAUAUAUGUUAUCAGAAGUGUGUUGUGCAAGAAACUGUGUGUUUUCUACAUAGUCAGCUAGAUUGAUCUGACAGCAGAUUAGGGAAAAGGAGAUAUAAUUAGGUAUCAUCAGCUCAGAGAAGACAUUUAAAGUCACAUGACACUUAAAUGUGAUUUCCUAGUGAAUAAGUAUAGAUAAAGAAAGCCGGAGGUCUGGGCUAAGGAUUAAGCCUUGAGACCAGGUAAAAAAGGAGAUUGCACAGGAACUACUGGUGAGUAGAAAGAAGUUUUCUGGAAGCUAGGCAAAGACUGUGUUUUUAAAAGGAGGCAGUGAUGAAUUGCAUCCAAAGGUACUUAAAGAUCAAGUAAAGUGAGGGCUGAGAAUGAAACUUGGUUUUGGUGACUUGGAGACUUUUUAGUGAUUUCAGCAAAAGUGGUUUCAAUGGAUUAAUGUCUUUAAAAACUGCUGCUUCCUGUGGCUUUAUCGUUGUCAAAAGGAGAGGAGAAGCUCUGGAGUUGAACUAAGUUGAAACCACCGUUCUGACAGUCUGAAGUUUGGCUUAUGAAGGGCAUCCUCUCAACAGAUACCAAAGAUGAAGAUGUUCCCCUACUUUUAUACGUAACUGUUGGGUUAUUCUGGGAAACAGGAUACAUAGUUACACAAUGCUGAAGUUGACUUAUCAUGCUUUUGAGAUGCUAACUACUCAGCUGGGUGUGUUUAAGUCUUUUUUUUUUCCCCCUCAAGUAGUCAGAGUGAUAAUACUUUGAGUUCCUGCACACCUAUAAGUCAUCUUGUUGCACUGCCUAUGUAAAGGAUAACUUCAUCCAUUUAGGAUUCUUAGUUUAUCAUAGUUUUUUCCUCAGAGUUCUCUGGAAGACACUCUACCACAGCACUGUCCAUCAAAACUUUCUAUGAUAGAAAUGUUCCAUUCUGCAUUGUCUAGUGCAGUAGCCACUAGUCACACACAGCUACUGAGCACCUGAAAUGUGCACAAUGCAACUGAGAAAAUGAAUGAAAACAAAUGCUGUGUUCCUUAUAUUUUUGUUACAAUUUUCAACUUCUUUUCCCCAUUGCAUUGAGGGAGUAUUUCUAAAACCCUGCUGCUACUUCACUCCAAAGAGUCACAGAUUUCACUUAAGAACUCCUUCCUGCUCUCUGAUUCUUUCAAAUGCUCAUCAGUUUCCCAGAGCAACUAAUUAGUUGCUCUUUAAACUUCAACAGUUUCUCUUGUUUCCUGCACUAAGUCUAUUUCAUGGGAAGUUAUUGCUCACACUGGUCAACUUCUUUUACAGUACCUACUGAGUCUGUAUGUGUCUAUCAUUUUCUGUAUGCAUCUUUAAAGAAAAAGGCCUGUUUAUGUAAUAUUGGGAACUGUGUUGAGUUCAACCAGAAAACACAUUUAGAACCAAGUUCAAAUCUCAGACCUAGGAGGGGAAAUGUUGACAUUGUUACUUUCUAUAUAAGUUCUCUACUGUUGCCUUAAAAAUUGUCCCAAAGUUAGCAGCUUAAAACAACAAACACUUAUUAUCUCACAACAGGUUGGGAAUCUGGGUGUGACUCAGCCAGGGGGCCUUGAGUUCCAGGUCUCUCACAAAGUUGCAGGUAUCCUAAAGCCUGACUGGAGGAGGAGAAUCUACUUCCAAGCUCGUGCACCUGGCUGCUGACAGAUGUCAGGUCACUAGCUGUUGGCCAGAGACAACAGAUCCUUGACACGUGAGCUCCACAGGGAACCACACAAACAUGGCAGCUGGCUUCCCUCAGCAAGUGAAACAGGGCAGUCCAACAUGGAUGCCAAAACCUUUCUGUAACCUAACCUCUGAAGCAGCAUCCCAGCAUCUUGCCCCACUUGUGGAAGCAAGUCACGAGAGGUCCAGAAACACUCAGAGAGAGGAGGUCACACAGAGACAUAAACACCAGAAGCCAGGGAUCACUGGGGCCACCUUAAGAGGCUGCCUGACAAAGAAGGCAGCUUGGGGGCAGAAUUUCAACUUUGUGCUUCAUGGUCCAGUCUCUUCCUUCUCUGCUGAUCACACUUCUCUUGGUAAGAGUCAUUUAGUUUUUCAUCCCAGUUUCGAAGUACAGAAUACAUGAAAAAACUGUCCAGUGGCUCCUCCUUCAAUUCUAACUCUGGCUAUUCAAAGUAGGUCCUGUCACUUACUCCUACCCGUGCUUCACAACCACAGAAAUGAACACUAAGGACCUCCCUCACAAUGUUUCUUGUUUGUACUGUUUCCUGCUAAAUUUUUUUAGUUUAGUUAUGGCACCCUUCCAGGGUUUCCAAGGAUACUGAAUUCUCCUUAUUAUGCUCACUGGUCAUUUCAGUGUGUCAUCUGUCUGUUUUAACACAUGGGCUUAGGUAACCAUCCUCCUCCCAAAGUCAAUACAAGCUAUUUGUUUAAGUAAGGCCCUCUACACAUUCUUUAAAAGACUGUUUUUGAUAAACGUGACAGGAAGUGCUUGUUGGCGUUCUAGCCAUAUAAUUCAAUUCUAUUGUUGGGUAAAACAAAGAUAUUUUAAUCUACACCAUCAAACCCCAGGAUAUUUUCUACCAUGUUAAUUUAAGUAACUGCUGCUUUCUUUAAAAAAAAAAAAAAAAAAAAAGUAAUAAUGCCACCAAACUUGGUACUGUUUAAAACAUUACAAAACUUAGUAAGCACAGCAACACUAACAAUAUACCUACAAUCUCAAAAGGCAGGGAGACACAGCUGCUCAGCAGUAGGAACUAAUCGCACAGAGAGGAUAAACUAACCAGAGUUAUAAAGAAGUGCCUACAACUGCAUGUCCAGCAGUGGGCACCUGGCACUGUGGAACAUACAUAAUACUUAAAGACUAAUCAUGAGUUAGAAUACCAGCAGUAUUUUAACUCACGAACCAAAAUAUACCCACUUCUGGUUUAACAAUUAAAAAACCUUACCCUACAUCAUGUAUCUCUUUUACCAUCUCCCAAUAGCUUAUUCACUCUAUCUCCUGAGAACAUAUAAUGAUAUUGCAGCGGAAGAAUCAACCAAAACUGAAUCAGGCAGCAACAUAUUUUCUGAUCUGAUACCCUGGAGUACAAAGUGUAGACUCUGCCAAAUAAUCAGGAUUCUGUUUUUUUGUCUUCUGCUGACGAAUACUCAAGAGAACAAGAGAGUUGACACACACAUACGUCUACCACAUAUGACUGUACAGGAUAUAACCAACACAAACAGCUAUCCUGUACAGCACAUGUAAGACACAGUGCCUAAGGGUCAAACCUGAUCUCACCAGAUUUCCAGGUGAGGUGUUGAAAGAAAGGCGAUUUUCAAACAUUUUAGCACUGCACUUAUUUAAUAAAAUCACUUAGCUUGGCAAAGAUACAGGAUAUAAAAUCAACACACAAAAAUCGGUUGUUUCUAUACACUAACAAUGAACAAUCCAAAAAGGAAAUUAAGAGAACAAUUCCAUCUACAGUAGCAUUCAAAUGAAUAAAAUACUAAGGAAUAAAUUAAUCCAAGGAGACAAAAGACUUCUACACUGAAAACUAUAAAACACAGCUAAAAUAAAGACAUAAAUAAAUGAAAAGACAUUCCAUGUUCAUGGAUUGGAAGACUUAAUUCCUAACAAAAUCCCUAAAGCACUUUUUGUAUAAAGAAAAAAAAAUCCCCCCUAAUGGGUUCUAUCAAAG